UGCAUAGAAAAUAACAUUGUCAGACGUGUCAUCCCCAGAUACAGUGGACAAUAUGCUAUUAUAAUUGUAUGGCAUUGUCCUUGCUGUUUGGAGAUAAUACUGCUGACUUUAUUCCUCUCAUACAUGU
rnacentral:precursor_RNA from 8 species